rnacentral:rRNA from 1 species
GUAAGGAAUAUUGCACAAUGGGCGAAAGCCUGAUGCAGCAACGCCGCGUGCGCGAUGAAGGCCUUCGGGUCGUAAAGCGCUUUUAGGGAGGAUGAGGAAGGACAGUACUCCCAGAAUAAGGUACGGCUAACUACGUGCCAGCAGCCGCGGUAAAACGUAGGUACCGAGCGUUAUCCGGAUUCACUGGGCGUAAAGCGCGUGCAGGUGGUUUGGUAAGUCGGGCAUGAAAACUCUUGGCUCAACUGAGAGAAGCUGUCCGAUACUGCCAGACUUGAGGGUGUGAGAGGGAGGUGGAAUUCCGCGUGUAGUGGUGAAAUGCGUAGAUAUGCGGAGGAACACCAGUGGCGAAGGCGGCCUCCUGGCACACUCCUGACACUCAGACGCGAAAGCUAGGGGAGCGAACGGGAUUAGAAACCCCUGUAGUCC